UACGAAGGGGGCUAGCGUUGCUCGGAUUGACUGGGCGUAAAGGGCGCGUAGGCGGUUCGUACAGUCAGACGUGAAAUUCCUGGGCUCAACCUGGGGGCUGCGUUUGAUACGUGCGGGCUUGAGUGCGGAAGAGGGUCGUGGAAUUCCCAGUGUAGAGGUGAAAUUCGUAGAUAUUGGGAAGAACACCGGUGGCGAAGGCGGCGACCUGGUCCGAUACUGACGCUGAGGCGCGAAAGCGUGGGGAGCAA
rnacentral:rRNA from 1 species